CAAAAGCGUAUAUUAAAGUUGUUGCAGUUAAAAAGCUCGUAGUUGAACCUUGGGCUUGGCUGGCCGGUCCAUCUUUUUUGAUGCGUACUGGACCCAGCCGAGCCUUUCCUUCUGGCUAGCCUUUUGGCGAACCAGGACUUUUACUUUGAAAAAAUUAGAGUGUUCAAAGCAGGCCUUUGCUCGAAUAUAUUAGCAUGGAAUAAUAGAAUAGGACGUUAUGGUUCUAUUUUGUUGGUUUCUAGGACCAUCGUAAUGAUUAAUAGGGACGGUCGGGGGUAUCAGUAUUCAGUUGUCAGAGGUGAAAUUCUUGGAUUUACUGAAGACUAACUACUGCGAAAGCAUUUACCAAGGGCGUUUUCAUUAA
rnacentral:rRNA from 1 species